AUUGAACGCUGGCGGCAGGCCUAACACAUGCAAGUCGAGCGGAGCGGCGGACGGGUGGGAAAUGCCUAGGAAUCUGCCUGGUAGUGGGGGAUAACUCCGGGAAAGGGGGGCUAAUCCGGCAACCUAUCAGUUGACCCUAGGUCGUAUUAGCUAGUUGGUGGGGUAAAGGCCUACCAAGGCGACGAUCCGGACCUGGUCUGAGAGGUUGAUCAGUCACCCUGGAACUGAGACACGGUCCAGACUCCUACGGGAGGCAGCAGUUGGGAAUAUUGGACAAUGGGCGAAAGCCUGAUCCAGCCAUGCCGCGUGUGUGAAGAAGGUCUUCGGAUUGUAAAGCACUUUAAGUUGGGAGGCGUUACCAACAGAAUAAGCACCGGCUAACUUCGUGCCAGCAGCCGCGGUAAUAC
rnacentral:rRNA from 1 species